UGUAACCUGACCUCUGAGGUCGAGAAACGACAUGGGGAGAGUAACAGGUUUUAGAUACCGUUGUUCAGUACAACUCUGUACGCAUUGAGUGCUAUAGUGUUAGGGGGGUCUCCGCUCCCUUUUGUGGUGCAGAUAAUCGCACUAAGCACUCCGCCUGGGGAGUACGGUCCCAAGACUGAAACUCAAAGGAAUUGAAGGGGGCCCGCACAAGCGGUGGACCAUGUGGUUUAAUUCGAAGCAACGCGAAGAACCUUACCAGGUCUUGACAUCCUCUGACAAUCCUAGAGAUAGGACGUCCCCUUCGGGGGCAGAGUGACAGGUGGUGCAUGGUUGUCGUCAGCUCGUGUCGUGAGAUGUUGGGUUAAGUCCCGCAACGAGCGAACCCUUGAUCUUAGUUGCCAGCAUUCAGUUGGGCACUCUAAGGUGACUGCCGGUGACAAACCGGAGGAAGGUGGGGAUGACGUCAAAUCAUCAUGCCCCUUAUGACCUGGGCUACACACGUGCUACAAUGGACAGAACAAAGGGCAGCGAAACCGCGAGGUUAAGCCAAUCCCACAAAUCUGUUCUCAGUUCGGAUCGCAGUCUGCAACUCGACUGCGUGAAGCUGGAAUCGCUAGUAAUCGCGGAUCAGCAUGCCGCGGUGAAUACGUUCCCGGGCCUUGUACACACCGCCCGUCACACCACGAGAGUUUGUAACACCCGAAGUCGGUGAGGUAACCUUUUAGGAGCCAGCCGCCGAU
rnacentral:rRNA from 1 species